AUACAUGCAAGUCGAGCGGACAGAUUGGGAAGCUUUGCUCCCUGAUGUUAGCGGCGGACGGGUGAGUAACACGUGGGUAACCUGCCUGUAAGAGUGGGAGAACUCCGGGAAACCGGGGCUAAUACCGGAGGCUUGUUUGAACCGCAUGGUUCAAACAUAAAAGGUGGCUUCGGCUACCACUUACAGAUGGACCCGCGGCGCAUUAGCUAGUUGGUGAGGUAACGGCUCACCAAGGCAACGAUGCGUAGCCGACCUGAGAGGGUGAUCGGCCACACUGGGACUGAGACACGGCCCAGACUCCUACGGGAGGCAGCAGUAGGGAAUCUUCCGCAAUGGACGAAAGUCUGACGGAGCAACGCCGCGUGAGUGAUGAAGGUUUUCGGAUCGUAAAGCUCUGUUGUUAGGGAAGAACAAGUACCGUUCAAUAGGGCGGUACCUUGACGGUACCUAACCAGAAAGCCACGGCUAACUACGUGCCAGCAGCCGCGGUAAUACGUAGUGGCAAGCGUUGUCCGGAAUUAUUGGGCGUAAAGGGCUCGCAGGCGGUUUCUUAAGUCUGAUGUGAAAGCCCCGGCUCACCGGGGAGGGUCAUUGGAAACUGGGGAACUUGAGUGCAGAGAGAGAGU
rnacentral:rRNA from 1 species